GGGAAGGUAGCUCAGUGGUAGAACGCUUGCCUUGCAUGCAUGAGGCCCUGAGUUCGAUUCCUUGCCACCACA
rnacentral:tRNA from 1 species